UUUGUGGGCUGGGGAGAUAGCUCAGUUGGUAGAGUGCUUGCCUCACAAGCACAAGGCCCUGGGUUCAAUCCCCAGCACCACAAAA